CUACGUGCCAGCAGCCGCGGUAAUACGUAGGUGGCGAGCGUUGUCCGGAAUCAUUGGGCGUAAAGGGAGCGCAGGCGGGCCGGUAAGUCUUACUUAAAAGUGCGGGGCUCAACCCCGUGAUGGGAGAGAAACUAUCGGUCUUGAGUACAGGAGAGGAAAGCGGAAUUCCCAGUGUAGCGGUGAAAUGCGUAGAUAUUGGGAAGAACACCAGUGGCGAAGGCGGCUUUCUGGACUGCAACUGACGCUGAGGCUCGAAAGCCAGGGGAGCGAACGGGAUUAGAUACCCCGGUAGUCCUGGCCGUAAACGAUGGAUACUAGGUGUGGGAGGUAUCGACCCCUACCGUGCCGGAGUUAACGCAAUAAGUAUCCCGCCUGGGGAGUACGGCCGCAAGGCUGAAACUCAAGGGAAUUGACGGGGACCCGCACAAGCGGUGGAGUAUGUGGUUUAAUUCGAAGCAACGCGAAGAACCUUACCAGGCCUUGACAU
rnacentral:rRNA from 1 species